rnacentral:lncRNA from 1 species
GGCAAGAGUGUUCCUAGCUUAUGGAUUGAAGCAGGGUGCAUCAUACUUUCUCAGUGAGGCAUUGCUUCUGCUGUGGAUAUAAACCUGAGUUCAAAUCCUUCCCAGGUUUCCAAAGUUACCUGCAUGGGCCUGGCCUCUCUCCGAGGUGCUGAACCUGACCCUCCACUGCAUCGCAGCCUCUUGCUGGAACCAAGGCUCCGGUUUCUGGAGAGGAGCGAGUUACGGGUCUUCGUGUCUGCUCUCCCCACAAUUGCAUCUCCACUGGGUUCAAGAAACAAAGGUAUAGCGGCAAAGCAUGCGUUUACCAGAUGUGCACCACAAAGGCCGGGGGUAGGGGGGUGGAUUUGAAACACGGGGUUGGCGUGGUAGCAACUGCCAUCUCCACGAGAUGUAUGUAAUGGAAUGUAUGUAAUG